GUCUAUGGCCAUGCCACCCUGAAUGUGCCCGUCUCAUCUGAUCUCGGAAGCUAAGCAGGUCUGGCCCUGGUUAGUACUUGGAUGGGAGACCUCACCCUAGUAAAUAAGCCACAUAAAAA
ensembl:rRNA 5S_rRNA 5S ribosomal RNA